ACGUUUGGAUGUGAGCGUCUGUAAGCGUAGCUUUCUAUUCAUUUAGGUGAUAUUAAGUUUAUUUCUUUAUUUAUUUACUGCUACACUAUAUUGUUGAUAUGAUUUCUUAUAGAAGGAAUAGUACAGACAAAUGAUAUAAUUUGUAAUCGUCGAUAUCAGAAUACUGGAUAGCAUAGGCUACUCGUGUUCUUGCUUUUUCAGGUGGAGAGGCAUAUUAGAGCUCAGUGAGAGCCCAUAACAUUAUACAGCAGUGUUGUCUUGAUUUAAUUGGGAUUUGAGCAACUUUUCCACAAACAAAAUUCUGAUGCUGACACAGAGGAUGGAGUGAUAAUACCAGAGAUCAGCUGUCUCCAUCAGACAAUAAUGUUACUUUGUUCAGACAUAUCACCUUUGAAUGACUGGGAUCCUUAUCUUCAGACACCUGUUGUAUUUUAUUUUAAUAUUAUAAAAUAGCAAAUAUUUUAAUUUCUUUGGAGCUCUAGAUUAAAACAAACACAGUACACAAGAGGUUGCAGUUUAUUCUUAUUAGUCUCUGCUGAUCAUGGAUUAGCAUACCAACAGCAUAUGAAUGGGAUAGUUCAUCCAAAAAUAAAAUUCUCACUUAUUUUACUCACCCUCAUGCUGUCCCAGAUGCAUUUUACUUUCUUUCUACAGAUAAAUACGAAUUAAGAUUUUAAGGAAAGUAAUCCAUCUCUGCAAGCCCUAAAGAUGCUUUAAAAACCACACACAGUGACCGUGAUGUCCAUGUGACCUCAGUGGAUGAAUCAAUACUGAAGUGAAACAAUAGAAUAAAAAAAAA